rnacentral:tRNA from 2 species
GCCAACGUAGCUUAGUUAAAGCAUAACACUGAAGAUGUUAAGACGGGCCCUAGAAAGCCCCGUAAGCA